ACCUAUGAAAAUUAACCAUUGAAAAAAAACCUACGAGGGCAGGUACGAGCGAUUCCUCCUGCCCUCGAAUCACUCGCACGCACGAGAAGUUCGCCGCUGUAAUCUGUCCCUACGUCGCCGCCUUCUUGGAUCCAUCGCUGUCGUCACGGAUCCGCCGCCGCCGUCGCCGCGGAACCCCUCGGACGCCUUCGCCUUCAUGGAUCCAUCGUUGUCGUCGCAGAUCCGCCGCCGCGGAACCCAAUGGACGGCUCCGCAGGGUGUCGGCGUGGUCAGAACGCACGGACGGCUCCCGCCUCAGCAGCCUGACCGCAGGGGCGAAGCAACAGCACGCUCAUACAGCAGGGAUCAGCCAUGAACCACAUGUGAUGGCACCGCCGCGAGAUUCCCAAGGGCAGCAAGGUCAUGUACGAGUUGGACAAGAAGGCGAGGCUCAUCAAGGCCGACCGCGUCCUCCACUCCUCCAUGGCCGGCCCACACAACUCAUCCUCCGUCUUCAGCAGCUGUGCAAGAGAGAUCGCGGUGACAAGUGAAAGACAGAGAUGAUUGUACAUCCUUGCUCCUUUUCUUCUUUCAGCAUUACACAUGUAGCAAUACCAUUCUCGCCAUCCAUCCCACAAUGACAAGAGCCUUUCUGGAGCACAAACCAGGGCAAUAUCUUCUGUUUAGAUGUUCAUUUUCAUUUUAAUUCACAACUUUUCCAGAAGGAUCAACCUAACCCGUGAUUUCUGUUUCUUGUUCAGAUCUGCUAUUCGGUAACAUGAUUUGGUGUGAUACUAGCUGUCCGUUAAAAUCUGGUUUAGCUUUCAGUCCCAAUUUUUAUGAUAAAAUAAUAGUCAAUGUUCAGAUGCACUCUUGUGGUCUUUCAUCAAGUUGAAACCCAUUUUGAAGUUUCAAUAUCCCUUGAAUUCUUAAUGAGUGGAUGUUGAGGAGUAGUCAAUGUGUUCCGUUUCAUGUAGGUGGAUGCGGUUAUGGUUAUGGUGGCGUACAUCUGGGGCAUUUAACGGUUUAUGUGUGCAGAUACAAGAGGCAGAUUAAUGGUCAUGUUAAGGAGCAUGUUGAUGUUGCUGAGGUAUGCCCCCCACCUCUUGAGAAUAUUGAUGACACUAUGAUCUCUUGAUGCCAAUUUCUUCAGUUCGUCAAUCACAUAAUUUUUGGUGCAAAAUGCCUGAAACUUAUGACAUGGGUGAAGGUGUUAAUCAAGAAUAGAGAUUCUCCGUAGCAAUGCAGUGAUACAGACAAGCAGAGAUCCUAAGGCCAAAGAUAAAAUGAAUCCUUUUGCUGAACAGGAAGCAUGGGAAGAACAUCAAAUAUGUAAUGUUGUUUACUUGGAUUAACCACAUGCAAUCGGAAAGUCAAACUGGAAUUUGGAUCAGAAGAUAGAAAGCGGUCUUCUAAUGAAUGCUGGUUGUACAAGAGCAGCUCUGAUGCUCGGUGGAGGCUGUACAAGAGCAGCUCUAAUGCUCGGUGGAACCAUUCUUGGUUAUUAUCCUGUCAGAGUGCUGCCAUCUAAGACUCCAAUUUUUUCCUUUUCACCCUAAGUUUCUUCCUUGAGUAAGUAAAUUUAGACUACACACGAGAGUGAGGAGACGAAGUUGGAAGGAGAGAGCACAUGGGCAAUUGAGGACUAAAGGAUAACACUUAAUCUUGCUUUUCUAUAUUCUUGGUUCCAAGUACAAAUUACAUUCAGUUCAGGUGCAAGUAGUCUUGAAGUUUCUAUUUCAUUUUUUCUUUCACUUGAUCUUCAGGUUUACAGGGUUAUUAAUUGGAUCCAUGUUUGAGCGACUUUGUAGAAGUGCGUUCAAUUAGCUUUCUGCAUAUUCACAGUUUAGAUUCACCAUUGAUAAGAGAAAAAAUUAUUCAAGAAAUCAUUGGUAUGAGAGGCUCCAUUGAUACCUUCAGAAGGCGCCGCAUCCCAAUGCUGUGGGUUACACUUGGGGUGAAAAUCAGCGGCAUAACAAGAGAGGUGCAUCACUAUAAGUGUGGAUAAAUUAAUUACAUAAAUGCUGCAAUGGUGCAUUUGCUUUUAGAUUCCUGUUGUUAACAUGGUACCAAAAAGGUAUGCGUGCAUGCUUGAAAAAUCUUAACAUUUGUGCAUCUAGCUAUUCAACCAUCCUUGAGUGAUAUAUAUUUCUCUGUACAUUGAAAUACAAUUGAACAACAAGGAGCUUAUAUCAGUGGUGUGUAUACGCUCCAAAAUUGCGGUAUCUACCUUCCCCAAAUAACAUAAAAAAAUAAGGUUGGGGGUUUACAGGGUUAUUAAUUGGAUCCAUGUUUCAGCGACUUUGUAGAAGUGCGUUCAAUUAGCUUUCUGCAUAUUCACAGUUUAGGUUGUUCCGAAAUUCUCUUAUCAAUGCACAUGUUUCCUUUUUUAUUUAGCAUGUGAAGUUCCUUAUUCAACACUGAUUGUUUGGCCAAAUCUGAUGAUACAGGUUCACCAUUGAUAAGAGAGAAAAUUAUUCAAGAAAUCGUUGAUAUGAGAGGUGUUAGAGUUAUACUAUAAGUCAUGUACUCCUUUGUAUUUAUCCCGUUGUAUAAGGGGUUUCCUGCAUAUGUUCCACACCUGUACAUGUAUAUAUAUAUCGGCGUAUGGCCUCAUGGGAAUACAAGUUGCUUAUUCCUAACAUGGUAUUAGAGCUA